rnacentral:rRNA from 1 species
ACGUAGGUGGCAAGCGUUGUCCGGAUUUACUGGGCGUAAAGCGCACGCAGGCGGCCUGUCUAGUCCAGGGUGAAAUCUCCCGGCUCAACCGGGAGAGGUCUCUGGAUACUGGCAGGCUUGAGGGCAGCAGAGGAGAGCAGAAUUCCCGGUGUAGCGGUGAUAUGCGUAGAUAUCGGGAGGAAUACCAGUGGCGAAGGCGGCUCUCUGGGCUGUCCCUGACGCUGAGGUGCGAAAGCGUGGGGAGCAAACCGGAUUAGAUACCCGGGUAGUCCACGCUGUAAACGUUGGGCACUAGGUGUGGGGGGUAUUGACCCCUUCCGUGCCGUAGCUAACGCGAUAAGUGCCCCGCCUGGGGAGUACGGCCGCAAGGCUA